UGGCCGGGCGGGGUGCCUAUACAUGCAAGUCGAGCGCGGGAAGCAAGCUGAUCCUCUUCGGAGGUGACGCUUGUGGAACGAGCGGCGGACGGGUGAGUAACACGUGGGCAACCUGCCUGUAAGACUGGGAUAACCCCGGGAAACCGGGGCUAAUACCGGAUAAUACUUUUCAUCACCUGAUGGAAAGUUGAAAGGUGGCUUUUAGCUACCACUUACAGAUGGGCCCGCGGCGCAUUAGCUAGUUGGUGAGGUAACGGCUCACCAAGGCAACGAUGCGUAGCCGACCUGAGAGGGUGAUCGGCCACACUGGGACUGAGACACGGCCCAGACUCCUACGGGAGGCAGCAGUAGGGAAUCUUCCGCAAUGGACGAAAGUCUGACGGAGCAACGCCGCGUGAGUGAUGAAGGUUUUCGGAUCGUAAAGCUCUGUUGUUAGGGAAGAACAAGUGCCGUUCGAAUAGGGCGGCACCUUGACGGUACCUAACCAGAAAGCCCCGGCUAACUACGUGCCAGCAGCCGCGGUAAUACGUAGGGGGCAAGCGUUGUCCGGAAUUAUUGGGCGUAAAGCGCGCGCAGGCGGUCCUUUAAGUCUGAUGUGAAAGCCCACGGCUCAACCGUGGAGGGUCAUUGGAAACUGGAGGACUUGAGUACAGAAGAGGAGAGUGGAAUUCCACGUGUAGCGGUGAAAUGCGUAGAGAUGUGGAGGAACACCAGUGGCGAAGGCGACUCUCUGGUCUGUAACUGACGCUGAGGCGCGAAAGCGUGGGGAGCGAACAGGAUUAGAUACCCUGGUAGUCCACGCCGUAAACGAUGAGUGCUAGGUGUUAGGGGUUUCCGCCCCUUAGUGCUGAAGUUAACGCAUUAAGCACUCCGCCUGGGGGAGUACGGCCGCAAGGCUGAAACUCAAAAAGAAUUGACGGGGCCCGCACAAGCGGUGGGAGCAUGGUGGUUUAAUUCGACGCAACGCGGAAGAACCUUACCAGGUCUUGACAUCCUCUGCAAUCGGUAGAGAUACCGAGUGCCUUCGGGACGAGUGACAGUGGUGCAUGCUGUCGUCAGCUCGUGUCGUGAGAUGUGGGUUUAAGUCCCCGCCAACGAGGCGGC
rnacentral:rRNA from 1 species